GUUAGUGUAGUUUAUCAAAACACUAGGCUGUGGUCCUAGAAAUAGAAAUACUAAAAUUUCUCACUUACC
rnacentral:tRNA from 1 species